UGUAUGCAUGUGUGUAUUCCUUAUCUAAAAAUCUAGAUGAGUUAUAAUUAGAGAAAUGAGCCAAAUAGAAAUGUAUGAUUUUUUUUAUAGUGUUUUGUAAGAAUCCAUUGUGGUGUCCAAAUAUAAUAAGCUCAGCACAGCCUAUUUUUCCCAUUAUUUAGAUUAAACAGUCUUGCAAAAAUGCAAAUUAAGUACCUGAGACAAGGAAAAAAAGAACAUCUGGUAUUUUGUAGAGGGGAAUCAGCUUUGAAGAAGCAACCCAUGGGCAGAAACUCUGUGAGCCUGAAUAAGGCAAGUAAUAGAAGCAUCUGCCUACUUUAAAUCCUAUCCAAUGUCAAAGUCAGGAGGAACCCUCAAUCAGUGAAUUAAAGAUUAUUUCAAGACUUCAAGAAAAUAAACUGAGUGCUGAGUAUAGGCUUGAAGAUUAAAUGCUAUCUGACCCCUACCAAGAAAUAUGCUACAAGGCCUUAGGUGCCUUCUCAUGGGGAGACUAUUAGCCAUGGCUACUGUAAGUUUUCAAAUGAAAAAGUUCCCCUUGUGUCUUUUAAAACAAUUGGAAAAGAAGACCAAGAAAUGAGAGAAUAAAAAAUAGUACAGAUCACUGACCUAAAGGCAUUGCCUUACUACAGCCUGGGGUUGUUACUCUAACUUCUCAUAGUAUGGGCUAUACCUACAUGCAUAAUGAUGGUUACUAUUAAAAGUUACUUUCAUAUUAUAUAAUUCAAGGUAUUUUCCACAUAUUGUGUCUUUUUAUUCAAUUAUAAUUCCCAAAGGGCCAGAUCAAUAUCUGUGUUCUUAGUGUAGCCAUCUGCUAUCCAUCUGCUCUUGCUGAUACCAGCUACCAUCUACCUUUGAAUGUCUAUAGCACAUUUCCCUUCCCACGCCCCAAUUGACCACAUAUUUAUUUUAGUAUUCACUUGGCAUGUGUUGUAUAAUACAUUAGAUUUGUAUUUGUAUGUGUACAAUUCAUGUUUUUUUUCCAACUGUUUUCUUUGACUUACAGGAGUUAGCAAAAGAAUAAAUCAGUAUCAAGGAAAAUGGUUAACAAAAGCUGCAAGAAGUAUUUGGGAUUUUAACUGACCUUUGAGGACAAUAAAAUUUAGAAAGACUGGGGUGCGUGGCUGGCUCAGUUGGUAGAGCAUGCGACUCU